UCGGGAAUUUUGCGCAAUGGACGAAAGUCUGACGCAGCAACGCCGCGUGAGGGAUGACGGCCUUCGGUUGUAACCUCUUUUGUCAGGGACGAUGAUGACGGUACCUGACGAAUAAGCCACGGCUAACUACGUGCCAGCAGCCGCGGUAAUACGUAGGUGGCAAGCGUUGUCCGGAUUUACUGGGCGUAAAGAGCGCGCAGGCGGUCGUUCAAGUCGCGUGUGAAAGCCCCCGGCUCAACUGGGGAGGGUCACGCGAUACUGAUCGACUCGAAGGCAGGAGAGGGUAGUGGAAUUCCCGGUGUAGUGGUGAAAUGCGUAGAUAUCGGGAGGAACACCAGUGGCGAAGGCGACUACCUGGCCUGUUCUUGACGCUGAGGCGCGAAAGCUAGGGGAGCAAACGGGAUUAGAUACCCCGGCACGUCCUAGACCGUAAACGAUAGGACACGUAGGUGUUGGUGGUAU
rnacentral:rRNA from 1 species